GCCGGGGUGGCGGAACGGUAUACGCACAGGACUUAAAAUCCUGCGCCGCAAGGCUUGUGGGUUCGAAUCCCACCCUCGGCACCA
rnacentral:tRNA from 1 species